rnacentral:rRNA from 1 species
UACCAGCACCCCGAGUGGUCGGGACGAUUAUUGGGCCUAAAGCAUCCGUAGCCGGUCCUGCGAGUCUUCCGUUAAAUCCAGCUGCUCAGCAGAUGGGCUGCGGAAGAUACUACAGGGCUAGGAGGCGGGAGAGGCAAGCGGUACUUUAUGGGUAGGGGUAAAAUCCUUUGAUCCAUAGAAGACCACCAGUGGCGAAGGCGGCUUGCCAGAACGCGCUCGACGGUGAGGGAUGAAAGCUGGGGGAGCAAACCGG